UUCCCAGCAACUCCUACCCCUACCUCCUCGCGGUACUGGCCGGGGUACGAGUAACCUUAGGGAAGAUCGAGUAACCAACCCCCGGUGGGAACUUCCGUCGUAUGCUGACAGGGAAGG
rnacentral:ribozyme from 1 species